UACGUAGGGUGCGAGCGUUGUCCGGAAUUAUUGGGCGUAAAGAGCUCGUAGGCGGUCUGUCGCGUCGGUCGUGAAAACUUGGGGCUUAACCCUGAGCUUGCGGUCGAUACGGGCAGACUAGAGUGUGGUAGGGGAGAUCGGAAUUCCUGGUGUAGCGGUGAAAUGCGCAGAUAUCAGGAGGAACACCGGUGGCGAAGGCGGAUCUCUGGGCCAUUACUGACGCUGAGGAGCGAAAGCGUGGGGAGCGAACAGG
rnacentral:rRNA from 1 species